UGAAUCAAUUGUCAUAUAUGUGUGUGAACUGUUUUGUGAACAUUGUUUGAAUGAAUUGUCAUAUAUGAGAUUACAGAAAUGAAAAUCUAAGUCAUUUCUGAUUUAGCCGAAUAGAAUUAAUUUUACUAUUGUUGGACUAAAGUCAUUUCUAACUCAGCCGAACAAAAUUUAAGUCAUUCCUUUUCCAAUCUCAUAAAUGUGGUAUUAGAUCCAACAAUACAAUUACAUAAUCUUUGAUUCUGAUUCAUUUUGUUUAUAGACAUUAUUUUGUGUUGUUUAUUAUUUUGCCUAACUGAACUAAAUUGUUGAAGGAGAUUUGUAUUCAUCAUGGCACUGCAUUUGACUUCAGUAUAGAGGAAAUUUGAGCUUCAUGUAUACGUCUAAGUGUUUGUACAUUGUAUAGUUUUGCACAAAUAUGAAAUGGGACACUCAAAUCAAUAUUUCCCGGUAAUAACAGCUUAUGUAGAACGAUCCACAGAGAAAUAGAGAGAUUGGGUGUGAUUGUUUGCUUUGCUUUGCACAGAUAGGUGAUGUUCACAAAGGCGAAUUUUGACGUCAUCAUCUGAGUAGAAGGCUGAUCAUCAUGGAUGCAUUGACCUUGGUGGCCUCUUCAAAGUGACUGCAGGAAACAUUGGUUUCUCAGUGAUUACAUGCUCUUCCAACGGAAGGGGGCCUGAUUCAGUGAAGAACGAAGUGAAGAGUGUGGAACAGUUGGCUCAAGAGAAAAGGCGAGCUGACCUGUCUGCUCGGACUGCCUCAGAAGAGUUCACUGUGAAUAAAUCUGGUUUCAAAUAGGAUUGCAGCUUGCAAAAGCCUUGGAGCUUUUCUGAUCGCUACUGACCUUCAGUCAAGUAGUUUAAAGUCAGUGGAAGAGAUGGGUUUUGCAGCAGAAUCUCAGCCAAAGCAGGGAAUGCCCUGAGGAAUGUAAGGAAGCUAUUGCACCACUGAUGCUUGCUGCAGCUAGAUUUUCUGGUUUACCAAAGUACAUUCUCUGACAUUAGGCAACUAUUUCAAGAGAUGGAUAUGAACUGUCUGACUCAUUGUAUAGAUGGAAAGUUUUUCAUGUGUUCUACUGUAUGACAAGCUUCGCUUUCGAAAGGCACAAGCUGAGAGGUGAGAAAAAAUAGCGGAGAGUUGAUACAGUCAGCAAAAAAGCUCCCCAAACUAAGCGGGUUGUUGACAACAAACUACUGGAGGCUGAUCAUCAUGGAUGCAUUGACCUUGGUGGCCUCUUCAAACUGACUGCAGGUUAUGAGAAAAGUGUAUCAAUUUCUGUCUACUCCAACAAUGAUGUUUUACUGAAUCUUCAGUCUCAAACUGAGAAAAGGGUGUUGAUAAUUUCAUCAAAGGUGCCUGAUGUUUGCGUGGCUGGUACUCAAAUGGAAAAUAUGGUUUUUGAAAUUGUCAGCUCUGAUGGUGUUGUUGAUGAUACUAUUCAUCAUGGCGAGAAAAGUGGCCAAUUACAUAUAGCUACAAUAAUGGCCGGUUCAUCAUCCAUGGAGGAAUCCCUUCGAUACACAUUCAAGCAUGGACGCUGUACAAUACCAAGACCCCCACACCCUACCUCGAAGAGUAGGGACUUAUUAUAUUAAACCAAAUAACUAAGCCAGAAAAUAAAACACCACUAAAAAAUAAAAAUAUUCCGCCGGAA